CCAUGCUAGAUGGGAAAUUAGCGAUGUCCUGUAACCUGCAAUUCGCUACAGCAGGAUUGAAUUCCUCUUGGAGGAUUGUUUAAUCGGUAGACUGCCCCAUGAAAGCGGUGUUGAAACUUGGGUCUCACGCAACAGGAGCUUAUGAACCGUGUCAGGUCUUGACGGAAGCAGCACUAAGUAAGAUAUUCUGUGUGCCGUGAGGGUGCCUGGGUGGAGCUGGCUCCAUGGGUACCGUAUUGAUUAGCCUUUCAAUAAGAGGUGCAUGG
rfam:Peptoniphilus duerdenii ATCC BAA-1640 genomic scaffold SCAFFOLD1, whole genome shotgun sequence.